rnacentral:rRNA from 1 species
UUGAACGCUGGCGGUAUGCUUAACACAUGCAAGUCGAACGGAAACGAUACUAGCUUGCUAGUAGGCGUCGAGUGGCGGACGGGUGAGUAACGCGUAGGAAUCUGCCUGAUAGUGGGGGAUAGCCCGAAGAAAUUCGGAUUAAUACCGCAUAAUCUAUUCGUAGUAAAGUGGGGGACUUUCGAGCCUCACGCUAUCAGAUGAGCCUGCGUAAGAUUAGCUUGUUGGUAGGGUAAAAGCCUACCAAGGCGACGAUCUUUAGCUGGUCUGAGAGGAUGAUCAGCCACAUCGGGACUGAGACACGGCCCGAACUCCUACGGGAGGCAGCAGUGGGGAAUAUUGGACAAUGGGGGCAACCCUGAUCCAGCAAUACCGCGUGUGUGAAGAAGGCCUGAGGGUUGUAAAGCACUUUCAAUUGUGAAGAAAAGUUAGCGGUUAAUAACCGUUAGCCUUGACGUUAACUUUAGAAGAAGCACCGGCUAACUCCGUGCCAGCAGCCGCGGUAAUACGGAGGGUGCAAGCGUUAAUCGGAAUUACUGGGCGUAAAGCGUGCGUAGGCGGUUUAUUAAGUCAGAUGUGAAAGCCCCGGGCUUAACCUGGGAACUGCAUUUGAAACUGGUCAACUAGAGUAUGGUAGAGGAAAGUGGAAUUUCUGGUGUAGCGGUGAAAUGCGUAGAUAUCAGAAGGAACAUCAAUGGCGAAGGCAGCUUUCUGGACCAAUACUGACGCUGAGGUACGAAAGCGUGGGUAGCAAACAGGAUUAGAUACCCUGGUAGUCCACGCCGUAAACGAUGAUAACUAGCCGUUGGGGGGAUUUACCCCUUAGUGGCGAAGCUAACGCGUUAAGUUAUCCGCCUGGGGAGUACGGCCGCAAGGUUAAAACUCAAAGGAAUUGACGGGGACCCGCACAAGCGGUGGAGCAUGUGGUUUAAUUCGAUGCAACGCGAAGAACCUUACCUGGUCUUGACAUCCUGCGAACUUUCUAGAAAUAGAUUGGUGCCUUCGGGAACGCAGUGACAGGUGCUGCAUGGCUGUCGUCAGCUCGUGUCGUGAGAUGUUGGGUUAAGUCCCGUAACGAGCGCAACCCCUAUCCUUAUUUGCCAGCACAUCAUGGUGGGAACUAUAAGGAGACUGCCGGUGAUAAACCGGAGGAAGGCGGGGACGACGUCAAGUCAUCAUGGCCCUUACGACCAGGGCUACACACGUGCUACAAUGGGAAGGACAAAGAGCCGCGAAGCCGCGAGGUGUAGCUAAUCUCAUAAACCUUUUCGUAGUCCGGAUUGGAGUCUGCAACUCGACUCCAUGAAGUCGGAAUCGCUAGUAAUCGUAGAUCAGAAUGCUACGGUGAAUACGUUCCCGGGUCUUGUACUCACCGCCCGUCAAGGG